CGCCGGGCCGGUCUUGCCCACGGGACAGGGUGAGUCAGGGGCUUGAACCCCUGUCUCUGGACUCCCUGGCCCCACGUUCCCCCAACUACCUCCAUCCACUUUGCCUGCAGCCGCCCCCUCCCCGGCCCCUCCAUCCAGCAACGUUGCCUCCCUCUGGGCUGGCAGCUGCUGAGAGGUGGGUGACAAAUUGGAAGCCCAGGGCCCUUGUCCAGAAGCGGUAAUCAGAACAGUGACACAACAACGUUAGGAUCUCCGGCAACAGAUCUCCGACCCUUUGUCCUGUGCCACAGUCACGCUGGACGUCUCUGCCCGCUUGAUCUUCAUCUACAGCUGCCCACCAGAGACCAGGCACCGUGCCAAGUUCAUAUCUUCAUUUCAGAGUGCAGGAACAGGCUCAGAGGAGUUAAGUAAGCCACCCAAGGGUGUUUUCUCUCAGUGGGUGAAGCGGCCAGCCCCUCACUCUCCACCAGUGUCCUGAGAGCCCUGUAAUGAUGGCCACAUGGUCAUUCUGCCAGCACGAACCUCUCCGUCCCUGACUGGAACUGUUCACCUGCCUCUGCCAGAGCUCCUCCAGCCCUCUGCCCCCAGGCCUGCCCUGCCUGUCCAGCCUCAUGAGCCAUCACUGUGGGCUUGCAAAAGUGGCAAGUUGCUGCCUUGGAACCUGAGAAGCUUCCACCUGUUGCAUACAGGCCAAGGGCAUCUGAGGAAGUGAUGCAGCAUCUUUCCCAGAAGAUGUUGGAAGCUCAAGUAAAUGCUGCUCGUGUGUGAGUUUGGAGAGGACAGGAAGGUGACCUCAGACUUGUGAAUGCUGUUUGUGCUGCCACAUUGCUUGGAGACAGACGCUGGAGUGAAGGAUUUGGGCAUGACCAGUGGAUCUCAAUGUUUCUUAAUGGUUUAGAAUCAAAACUGGAAAGUUUUGAAAGAUACCGAAUCCUAGGCUCCACCUCUAAACCAAUAAAAUCUCUGAGCAUUCUGCCCAGCACUGGGAUUUUCCUAAAGCUCUGAGGGGAUUCUAAUGUGCAGCCAGAGUAGAUAAUUCUCACCAUGGAUGGUGAUUAAAGUCAUGGGAGGAUAUGAGCUCCCCAGAUAAGGAUUUGGGAGUGAGACAGAAGAGGACCAAGGGCUGAGCCUUAAGGGUUCCUGACUGCAAGGGUUAGAAAAAGGAGAAUAGCAAGAGAUGGGAGGAGCUGGAGAAGGAACAGCUGGAGAGGAGGAAAAUCGAGAGUGCAGGUCACAGGAUAAGGAAAAAGGAUUCAUGGACUGGGAGGCCACAUGGAGCAAAAGGCAGGAUGAAAAGAGUCCAUUGGGUUUAUCAACAAAAAGGUCAUUGGUGAACCAGGAGGGAGCUAUGUUGGUGGAAUGGGUGUGACAAAGCCAAACUGAAGAAGGUGAUUGUGGAAGGAAGAGGGAGGUAAGGGGUGCAAAUAGUGAAUUCAUAAAACUGCUUCGCUUUGAGGUAGAGAGCUGGAAGGAGAGUAUGGAGUUAAGGGAGGGUCAGAGGAGAUUAGCCAGAGGGGAGACUUGAGCAUAUGUAAUUGCCAGUAAAAAGGAAUCAAAUAGAAUAGAGUCUAGAAACUGACCUUGCCUAUAUGGUCCCUAGAUUUAUGACGAAAGCACAAAUACAAUUCAAUGAUCAAAGGAAGAUCUCUUCAAUAAACGUUGCUGCAACACCCAGAUAUAUGUAUGGGGUGGGGAGAGAACCUUGAUCCCUACCUCACACCACACAUACAAAUUAGUUCCAGAUGGACCAUAGACCAGAAUAUAAAAGCAAAAAUCAUAAAUAAAUUGUAGGAGACUAUCUUUAUGAUUCUGGGGCAGGUAAAAAUUUAUUAAUAAGCAUGACAUAAAAAUUAUUGACCAUAAAAAAGAUUCUAUAUUGGACUUCUUAAAAAUUUUUAAGCUUCUAUUUAUCAAAAAUCACUUCUAAGGCAAAAUCAAUCUAUGAGGAUAUAAGAUAGAUCAGAGGUUGCUGACUUCCUGGGAAAGGGCAUGAGGGAACUUUCUGGAAUGAUGGAAAUGUUCUGUAUCCUGAUGGGGUGGAGGUUAUGUUAGGGAGUUACAUCUUUCCUUUCCUUUCCUUUUUUUUUUUUUUUUUUUUUUUUUUUUAGGUAUUUUCUUUUUUAUUGAAAUAUAUUUGACAUAUAACAUUGUGUAAAUUUAAGAUAUACAACAUGCUUAUUAAAUACAUUUAUAUGUUGUAAUACAAUUGGCAUUGUAUUGAUAACUGACACCUCUAUCAUACUACAUAAUUAUCGUUUCUUUUUUGGUUGGAAUAAUUAAAUCUAGACUGUUAGCAAGUUUGAUGAUUAUAGGGAAUGCCUGGGUGGCUCAGUGGUUGAGCAUCUGCCUUUGACUCAGAUCAUGAUCCCAGGGUCCUGGGAUCGAGUCUCAUAUGGGGCUCCUGGAGGGGAUCCCACUUCUCCCUCUGCCUAUGUCCCUGCCUCUCUCUUUGUGUAUCUCUCAUAAAUAAAUAAAUAAAACCUUUUAAAAAAAGUUUGAUGAUUAUAAUGCAAUACUGUUGUCUA